rnacentral:rRNA from 1 species
GUAAAGCACUUUCAGUAGGGAGGAAGGUAGUGUAGUUAACACCUGCACUAUUUGACGUUACCUACAGAAGAAGCACCGGCUAACUCCGUGCCAGCAGCCGCGGUAAUACGGAGGGUGCGAGCGUUAAUCGGAAUUACUGGGCGUAAAGCGCAUGCAGGCGGCCUGUUAAGUCAGAUGUGAAAGCCCGGGGCGUUAACCUCGGAAUUGCAUUUGAAACUGGCAGGCUAGAGUCUUGUAGAGGGGGGUAGGAAUUUCAGGUGUAGCGGUGAAAUGCGUAGAGAUCUGAAGGAAUACCAGUGGCGAAGGCGGCCCCCUGGACAAAGACUGACGCUCAGAUGCGAAAGCGUGGGGAGCAAACAGGAUUAGAUACCCUGGUAG